rnacentral:rRNA from 1 species
UGCAAGUCGUGCGAGAAGUCACCUUCGGGUGGCGAGUAAAGCGGCGCACGGGUGAGUAACGCGUGGGUAAUCUGCCUUCGGGUCCGGGACAACUCCGGGAAACUGGAGCUAAUACCGGAUAAGACCACGGCGUCUUCGGACACUGUGGAAAAAGGUGGCCUCUUCUUGAAAGCUACCGCCCGUAGAUGAGCCCGCGUCCCAUUAGCUUGUUGGUGAGGUAACGGCUCACCAAGGCGACUAUGGGUAGCUGGUCUGAGAGGAUGAUCAGCCACACUGGGACUGAGACACGGCCCAGACUCCUACGGGAGGCAGCAGUCGGGAAUUUUGGGCAAUGGGCGCAAGCCUGACCCAGCAACGCCGCGUGAGGGAUGAAGGCCCUCGGGUCGUAAACCUCUGUCGGAAGGGAAGAAAGGUGGAGAGUCGAACAGGCUCUUCGCUUGACGGUACCUUCAAAGGAAGCACCGGCUAACUCCGUGCCAGCAGCCGCGGUAAUACGGAGGGUGCAAGCGUUGUUCGAAAUUACUGGGCGUAAAGAGCGUGUAGGCGGCUUGGUCAGUCGGAUGUGAAAUCCCGGGGCCCAACCCCGGAACUGCAUCCGAUACUGCCUGGCUUGAGUCUCGGAGAGGAAGGCGGAAUUCCGGGUGUAGAGGUGAAAUUCGUAGAUAUCCGGAGGAACACCAGCGGCGAAGGCGGCCUUCUGGACGAUGACUGACGCUGAGACGCGAAAGCGUGGGUAACAAACAGGAUUAAUACCCUGGUAGUCCACGCCGUAAACGUUGAGUGCUGGACGUCGGAGGUAUUGACCCCUUCGGUGUCGGACUAACGCGUU